rnacentral:rRNA from 1 species
AUACGGAGGGUGCAAGCGUUAAUCGGAAUUACUGGGCGUAAAGCGCGCGUAGGCGGUUUAGUAAGUCGGAUGUGAAAGCCCUGGGCUCAACCUGGGAAUUGCAUUCGAUACUGCCUGACUAGAGUAUGGUAGAGGGAAGUGGAAUUUCCGGUGUAGCGGUGAAAUGCGUAGAUAUCGGAAGGAACACCAGUGGCGAAGGCGACUUCCUGGGCCAAUACUGACGCUGAGGUGCGAAAGCGUGGGGAGCAAACAGGAUUAGAAACCCGAGUAGUCC